rnacentral:rRNA from 1 species
UACGAAGGGUGCAAACGUUGCUCGGAAUUAUUGGGCGUAAAGCGCACGUAGGCGGCUUAGCAAGUCGGAUGUGAAAUCCCACGGCUCAACCGUGGAAGUGCAUUCGAAACUGCAGGGCUAGAGUCCUGGAGAGGAAGGUGGAAUGCUUGGUGUAGAGGUGAAAUUCGUAGAUAUCAAGCGGAACACCGGUGGCGAAGGCGGCCUUCUGGACAGUGACUGACGCUGAGACGCGAAAGCGUGGGGAGCAAACAGG